rnacentral:rRNA from 1 species
AUUACUGCUCAACAACACGUAGCUAACCUACCCUUAAGUCGAGGAUACUCUCGGGAAACUGAGGUUAAUACUCGAUAGGAGAUGUACCCUGGAAUGAUUCAUCUCUCAAAUUCGUGCUUAAGGAUGGGGCUGCGGCGGAUUAGGUUGUUGGCGGGGUAAAGGCCCACCAAGCCAAUGAUCCGUAAGGGCUCUUAGCGGAGAGGCCCUGAGAGGGAAUCUGAGACACUAUUCCCAGCCCUACGGGGUGCAGCAGUUAGGAAUUUUCUGCAAUGUACGAAAGUAUGACAGAUUGAGUCAGAGUGCUUUUCAUAUGAAAAGCUUUUGCCAAAUGUAAAAAGUUUGGCGAAUAAAGACUGGGUAAGACGAGUGCCAGCAGCCGCGGUAAUACAAUAAA